GAUGAACGCUGGCGGCGUGCCUAAUACAUGCAAGUCGAGCGAACAGACGAGGAGCUUGCUCCUCUGACGUUAGCGGCGGACGGGUGAGUAACACGUGGAUAACCUACCUAUCUGACUGGGAUCACUUCGGGACACCGGCGAUAAUCCCGGAUAAUAUAUUGAACCGCAUGGUUCAAUAGUGAAAGACGGUUUUGCUGUCUCUUAUAGCUGGAUCCGCGCCGCUUUAGCUAGUUGGUAAGGUAACGGCUUACCAAGGCAACGAUGCGUAGCCGACCUGAGAGGGGGAUCGGCCACACGGGAACGGAGACACGGUCCAGGCGCCUACGAGAGGCAGCAGUAGGGAAUCUGCCGCAAUAGUCGAAAGCCUGGCGGAGCGACGCCGCGUGAGUGAUGAAGGUCUUCGGAUCGUAAAACUCUGUUAUUAGGGAAGAACAAAUGUGUAAGUAACUAUGCACGUCUUGACGGUACCGAGUCAGAAAGCCACGGCUAACUACGUG
rnacentral:rRNA from 1 species